rnacentral:rRNA from 1 species
AGAGUUUGAUCCUGGCUCAGGAUGAACGCUGGCGGCGUGCCUAACACAUGCAAGUCGAACGUUAUCCCGAUUUCGGUUGGGAGAAAGUGGCGAACGGGUGAGUAACACGUUGGUGACCUGCCCCGCAGUGGGGGAUAACUCUGGGAAACCAGAGCUAAUACCCCGGAUGUUUAAGGGUUUAGACGCCUUAAACUAAAGUCGCAAGGCGCUGCGGGAGGGGCCUGCGGGCUAUCAGCUAGUUGGUGGGGUAAAAGCCUACCAAGGCGAAGACGGCUAGGGGGCGUGAGAGCGUGACCCCCCACAAUGGAACUGAGACACGGUCCAGACUCCUACGGGAGGCAGCAGUGGGGAAUUUUGGACAAUGGGCGCAAGCCUGAUCCAGCCAUUCCGCGUGAGUGAAGAAGGCCUUCGGGUUGUAAAGCUCUUUCGCAAGGGAAGAAAACUUACCCUCUAACAUAGGGUGAGGAUGACGGUACCUUGAUAAGAAGCACCGGCUAACUACGUGCCAGCAGCCGCGGUAAUACGUAGGGUGCGAGCGUUAAUCGGAAUUACUGGGCGUAAAGCGUGCGCAGGCUGUUUUGUAAGUCAGAUGUGAAAUCCCUGGGCUCAACCUAGGAACUGCGUUUGAAACUACAAGACUAGAAUAUGUCAGAGGGGGGUAGAACUCCACGUGUAGCAGUGAAAUGCGUAGAGAUGUGGAGGAAUACCAAUGGCGAANGCAGCCCCCUGGGAUAAUAUUGACGCUCAUGCACGAAAGCGUGGGGAGCAACAGGAUUAGAUACCCUGGUAGUCCACGCCCUAAACGAUGUCUACUAGUUGUUGGUGGAGUAAAAUCCAUGAGUAACGCAGCUAACGCGUGAAG